rnacentral:rRNA from 1 species
UACGUAGGGGGCAAGCGUUAUCCGGAUUUACUGGGUGUAAAGGGAGCGUAGACGGCACGGCAAGCCAGAUGUGAAAGCCCGGGGCUCAACCCCGGGACUGCAUUUGGAACUGCUGAGCUAGAGUGUCGGAGAGGCAAGUGGAAUUCCUAGUGUAGCGGUGAAAUGCGUAGAUAUUAGGAGGAACACCAGUGGCGAAGGCGGCUUGCUGGACGAUGACUGACGUUGAGGCUCGAAAGCGUGGGGAGCAAACAGGAUUAGAUACCACGGUAGUCCGGCACU